rnacentral:rRNA from 1 species
AUGAAGGUAAUAGCUUGGAAUUGUUAGGGGUUGGGGAACGGCUCGGCAAUUUAGGGUCUUAUGGACAUCCAGAAGAACAAGGACGACCCCGACAUCCUUUUUUUGUCGGAAACAAAACUAGUUACGAAAAGGAUGGAAUGGUGGAGAUGGAAACUUGGACUGACUAGUAUGAGAGUGAAGGAUUGCGAAGGUCAAUCUGGUGGUUUGGCACUGUUUUGGAGGAGCUCGCUAAAGGUGCAAGCAGGACUAAUAUCGAGGUACCAUAUUGAUGCUAUAGUAACUGAGAAGGAUGGUUUUGAAUGGCGGUUUACUGGUAUUUAUGAAGAACCGAGUUUGGGUAAAAGGGAGGCCACCUCGAGAUUAUUAAGGACAAUCAAACAUCAUAGUGACAGUCCAUGGUUGUGUCUAGGGGACUUUAAUGAGAUUAUGUUCCAAGGGGAGAAGGAGGGAGGGGUGGAGAGGCCCCAAGUUUACAUGGAUAGGUUCAAGCAAGCGUUGGAGGAUUGUAAUUUGCAUGAUUUUGGUUUCACGAGGGAUGUGUUCACUUGGAGAAAUAACAACCAUGAUGCAAAUCUUUACAUUAGAGAGAGGUUGGAUAGAGUGGUGGCAACACCUGAAUGGUGUAGCAGAUUUCCGACGUAUCGAGUAGCUAAUGGGGACCCCGACACUCGGACCACCGGCCACUCUCGCCCCUCCCAUGCCAUGGAGGCCAAGGACCAGAGAGGAAACCCUUCUCCCAUCUAG